rnacentral:rRNA from 1 species
UGGGGAAUAUUGCACAAUGGACGGAAGUUUGAUGCAGCGACGCCGCGUGGAGGGUGUAGGCCUUCGGGUUGUGAACUCCUUUUUCUCGCGAAAAAGGCACAGUUUUGGCUGUGUUGAUGGUAGUGGGGGAAGAAGCGCCGGCUAACUACGUGCCAGCAGCCGCGGUAAUACGUAGGGCGCGAGCGUUGUCCGGGUUUAUUGGGCGUAAAGAGCUCGUAGGUGGUUCGUCGCGUCUGUCGUGAAAGCCAGCAGCUUAACUGUUGGUCUGCGGUGGGUACGGGCGGGCUUGAGUGCGGUAGGGGUGACUGGCAUUCCUGGUGUAGCGGUGGAAUGCGCAGAUAUCAGGAGGAACACCGAUGGCGAAGGCAGGUCACUGGGCCGUUACUGACACUGAGGAGCGAAAGCGUGGGGAGCGAACAGG